UACGGAGGGGGCGAGCGUUAUUCGGAAUUAUUGGGCGUAAAGGGCGCGUAGGCGGCCCUGCAAGUCAAAGGUGAAAUCCCUCGGCUCAACUGAGGAACUGCCUUUGAAACUGCGGGGCUUGAGGCCGGGAGGGGGUAGCGGAAUUCCCAGUGUAGCGGUGAAAUGCGCAGAUAUCAGGAGGAACACCGGUGGCGAAGGCGGCUUUCUGGGCCUUACCUGACGCUGAGGAGCGAAAGCUGGGGGAGCGAACGGG
rnacentral:rRNA from 1 species